rnacentral:rRNA from 1 species
UUGAAGAGUUUGAUCAUGGCUCAGAUUGAACGCUGGCGGCAGGCCUAACACAUGCAAGUCGAGCGGAAACGAGUUAUCUGAACCUUCGGGGGACGAUAACGGCGUCGAGCGGCGGACGGGUGAGUAAUGCCUAGGAAAUUGCCCUGAUGUGGGGGAUAACCAUUGGAAACGAUGGCUAAUACCGCAUGAUGCCUACGGGCCAAAGAGGGGGACCUUCGGGCCUCUCGCGUCAGGAUAUGCCUAGGUGGGAUUAGCUAGUUGGUGAGGUAAGGGCUCACCAAGGCGACGAUCCCUAGCUGGUCUGAGAGGAUGAUCAGCCACACUGGAACUGAGACACGGUCCAGACUCCUACGGGAGGCAGCAGUGGGGAAUAUUGCACAAUGGGGGAAACCCUGAUGCAGCCAUGCCGCGUGUGUGAAGAAGGCCUUCGGGUUGUAAAGCACUUUCAGUCGUGAGGAAGGUAGUGUAGUUAAUAGCUGCAUUAUUUGACGUUAGCGACAGAAGAAGCACCGGCUAACUCCGUGCCAGCAGCCGCGGUAAUACGGAGGGUGCGAGCGUUAAUCGGAAUUACUGGGCGUAAAGCGCACGCAGGCGGUUUGUUAAGCUAGAUGUGAAAGCCCCGGGCUCAACCUGGGAUGGUCAUUUAGAACUGGCAGACUAGAGUCUUGGAGAGGGGAGUGGAAUUCCAGGUGUAGCGGUGAAAUGCGUAGAUAUCUGGAGGAACAUCAGUGGCGAAGGCGACUCCCUGGCCAAAGACUGACGCUCAUGUGCGAAAGUGUGGGUAGCGAACAGGAUUAGAUACCCUGGUAGUCUACGCCGUAAACGAUGGUUACUAGCUGUCCGGCCUAAUUGAGGGCUGGGUGGUUAAGCGAAAGUGAUAAGUAACCCACCUGGGGAGUACGUUCGCAAGAAUGAAACUCAAAGGAAUUGACGGGGGCCCGCACAAG